UGGGGAAUAUUGCACAAUGGGCGCAAGCCUGAUGCAGCCAUGCCGCGUGUGUGAAGAAGGCCUUCGGGUUGUAAAGCACUUUCAGCGGGGAGGAAGGCGAUAAGGUUAAUAACCUUGUCGACUGACGUUACCCGCAGAAGAAGCACCGGCUAACUCCGUGCCAGCAGCCGCGGUAAUACGGAGGGUGCAAGCGUUAAUCGGAAUUACUGGGCGUAAAGCGCACGCAGGCGGUCUGUCAAGUCGGAUGUGAAAUCCCCGGGCUUAACCUGGGAACUGCAUUCGAAACUGGCAGGCUAGAGUCUUGUAGAGGGGGGUAGAAUUCCAGGUGUAGCGGUGAAAUGCGUAGAGAUCUGGAGGAAUACCGGUGGCGAAGGCGGCCCCCUGGACAAAGACUGACGCUCAGGUGCGAAAGCGUGGGGAGCAAACAGG
rnacentral:rRNA from 1 species